rnacentral:rRNA from 1 species
AUUGAACGCUGGCGGCAUGCCUUACACAUGCAAGUCGAACGGUAACAGGUCUUCGGAUGCCGACGAGUGGCGAACGGGUGAGUAAUACAUCGGAACGUGCCCAGUAGUGGGGGAUAACUACUCGAAAGAGUGGCUAAUACCGCAUGAGAUCUACGGAUGAAAGCAGGGGAUUACAAGACCCUGUGCUACUAGAGCGGCCGAUGGCAGAUUAGGUAGUUGGCGGGAUAAAAGCUUACCAAGCCGACGAUCUGUAGCUGGUCUGAGAGGACGAUCAGCCACACUGGGACUGAGACACGGCCCAGACUCCUACGGGAGGCAGCAGUGGGGAAUUUUGGACAAUGGGCGAAAGCCUGAUCCAGCAAUGCCGCGUGCAGGAUGAAGGCCUUCGGGUUGUAAACUGCUUUUGUACGGAACGAAAAGCCCCGGGUUAAUACCCUGGGGUCAUGACGGUACCGUAAGAAUAAGCACCGGCUAACUACGUGCCAGCAGCCGCAGUAA